CAUUGACUUUGCUUGUCCAAAGGUGGCAAAAGAUAAAUGGAAUACGAACAAGCAAAGCCAAGCAAAGAUAUCACUUUAUAUGUAAUGCAUACUUAAUCAUAUCAAGGCACCAUAUCUCUAUCCAAGCUCUGCUUAUGAUCUAUAUAAUGAUGAAACCAGUGUAAUUGCUAAUGCGUUGUAAGUCAGAUGUCUCAUGGUUUCCCUGGAACACAGUGACUGACACCAAAUAGAUGAGGAAACAUUGUGAAAUAUUUUGGUAAAACAUAAGGACCGGACUUGAAAUUGUGACUGUAUUCUGAUUAUUAGUAACAAAAAAAAUUAAAUCAGCAAAUUACUGUCAGCAUCUGUGACAACCCAAUGAAUGCCAUAGCUUUAUAUAUCUUUGCUAUUUACCUUGUAUUCAACUGAAAUGCUUUUUAUUGAACACAUUCUACUUUAUAUUGUUUCUGACUAGUUUAUAUGAUUGGGCAAAAUAAUGGACAGUGUUUCACAUGAACAAGCAGUGCCAAGAGUGUUACUGUUUCUGUUCUGAAAAAUAACAGCAACACCCCCUAACCCCAAUCCAUUGGCCCCAAGCCUGCAGACUUUUGGAAAACCUUUAAAAACUGAAUUUUCCAAAAGAUUCAAAGUCAGGGGGAAUGUUUGCCAUUUUCAUUUUUGUAUUCCCUGAUGUGCUGUUGUUCACAUAUUUGUUUCAACAUUUAAACUUUAUAGCAAUAAACUAUUCUGCAAAGGUCUUGAAACUGAAAAGUGAAUAUUAAAAGACCAGAAUUUUUUACA